ensembl:lncRNA SOX2-OT SOX2 overlapping transcript
CUCUCUCUUUUAAAAAAUCAGCCAUUUGGGGUUUUAAGCCAUAAACGAUUUUUCUUGUUGCAGGGGAUUGCAGUGGCAAAGCUAGGCUAGGUCUUGGAGGCUGGUGUAAGGCGAUGUGGGUGAAGGCAGGAGGCUGAUGGAAAGACUGGGGGGAAGAAAAGCCGAAAUGGAUUCACGGUGCCUUGGAUGAAGGACGAGAGGGGAACUGCAAGCUCCUUCAACUGGUUCUGUCCGGUGAGAAGUGAUCAAGCUUGGGCUGACAAGAGGCUCAGGGAGCCCUCACGUUCUUUCGCUUUUUUACCUGCCAAUCAAACUGCUACAAGACAACACCCUGAUCUGGCAUGGACAUACACAGCCCAGGCAGACAGAAGGAAACGGAGCAUUAAUCCAACUGCAGUCACCCCAAAGUACAGGCCAUUUGGAUCCAGAAGAGAAACUGGUUCCUUCUACAAGCUCUCCCGUUCUCCCUGGGGCCCUUCACAGCCUCCUUGUCUACGUUGUGGCUGUGCUUUCCCUGAUCCAACUUAGAAAUAAUGUUUCAUUCAAGAUAAGGCUCGUGGCUUAGGAGAUUGUGACCUGGCUUGCAUCAUUCUAAGACUUCUAUCGUCUGUUUUCAAAACCCAAGGAGGACCUCCUUUUCUGUGUGAUAGUUCCUCAUGCUUUGCCAGCCACUGGGUCUUUAAGGAAGCUUGCCAAGAGUUCCCGGCUGGGAAGGACAGUUCGAGUUCAUCAUAGACAAUGAGCUGGCACCACAGUUUAAGUGACUCACCAACCUGGUUGCCCACUUCAAAAUGUCAAGAACCACACUAUCUAAUUGAAAGAACUGUGUUUUAGCAAAGUGUAAUUGGAUCGCCUGGCAAGAUCAUCUCAAACUAUGUCUCUGACCUUGCCUUUCAGUGGCUAUUUUGAGCACAAGAGGAGAAAGGAAAUGAUUCCUGAAUUAUAUCUUGUUUUUAAAAAUUAAGAUUAAUUAAUACUUGGUUUUAUGUUCAUUCCAUUGUAGGAACUUAGUGAUUAUUACAAAACAGUCAAAAUAGGUCAUAGCAAAAUGAACGUUUAAGAUUAGGUUAAAACAUUCCUCUGAAAUUUUAGUAUUCACUUUUGAAGUGUCAAUUACUAUAUUUCUGUAAUUUCUCAUUUUUUUCUUGGCUUAGAGUCAAGAUGAAAAAUGAUAUUUGAAUCAAAGACAUUGUUUUGUUAUAUAGCCACUCCUUUCUAAAAUGCAAAUCCACCCUCCCCUCACCAAUGCUUUAUUCUUUGUGCGCGCACACACACACACACACACACACACACACACACACACACACAGACAUACACAGAACCAGCACCCAAAUGGUAGAGGAGGUCCUUCCAAGACUUCUAGGACCUGGAUCAUGUAAGCAGUAGAUGAGAAAAUGAAGUAAGAGAUAUAGAGUAAUAACAAUAAAAGUCAAUGAUUUCAUUUUACAAAAAAGUCAUUGUGUAGUACUCAGAUAUUUUUAAGAGCAAGUAUUAUUAUGACUAAAGUAUAUUAUACUUCUAAAUUAUUAUGAUUCUCAUCUAAUUUCAAGCCACACAUAGGCGCCAUUUGAAAGCAUUUUGUGUUACAACCUAUCAACAAAAAUCAACUAAUAGUUUUAUAACGUGCAUAGGUUUACCCCAUGGGGAAUUAAAAUUUUUAUCUGCAAGUAUUUCUGUUGUUGUGAGACUUUAGGACAAGACAACAUUUGGUGUUAACAUAGAAGAAUAUUCUAUGGCUUUUUUAGCUUUAAAGUUCAUUACUCUAAAAUAAA